rnacentral:rRNA from 1 species
GAUGAACGCUAGCGGCAGGCCUAAUACAUGCAAGUCGAGGGGCAGCGCGGUAGCAAUACUGGCGGCGACCGGCGCACGGGUGCGUAACACGUAUGCAACCUACCUUCAACUGGAGGAUAGCCCGGGGAAACUCGGAUUAAUACUCCAUAACACAGGGAUCCCGCAUGGGAAUAUUGUUAAAGCUACGGCGGUUGAAGAUGGGCAUGCGUUCGAUUAGCUAGUUGGUGUAGGUAACGGCUCACCAAGGCUACGAUCGAUAGGGGGUCUGAGAGGAUGAUCCCCCACACUGGUACUGAGAUACGGACCAGACUCCUACGGGAGGCAGCAGUAGGG